GAUGAACGCUAGCGGCAGGCCUAAUACAUGCAAGUCGGACGGGAUUUGGGAGCUUGCUCCUAAUGAGAGUGGCGCACGGGUGCGUAACACGUAUGUAACCUCCCUUAAUCAGGGGGUUAGCCUCUCGAAAGAGUGCUUAACACCGCAUAAUAUAUUGUUAUGGCAUCGUAGACAUAUAAAAUAUUCAUAGGAUUAAGAUGGGCAUGCGGAACAUUAGCUAGUUGGUAAGGUAACGGCUUACCACGGCUACGAUGUUUAGGGGAUCUGAGAGGAUGCCCCCCCACACUGGUACUGAGACACGGACCAGAUUCCGACGGGAGGCAGCAGUAAGGAAUAUUGGUCAAUGGGCGCAAGCCUGAACCAGCCAUGCCGCGUGCAGGAAGACGGCCCUAUGGGUUGUAAACUGCUUUUGUACCGGAAUAAACCCUUUUACGUGUAAGAGGCUGAAUGUACGGGAAGAAUAAGGAUCGGCUAACUCCGUGCCAGCCGCCGCUGUAA
rnacentral:rRNA from 1 species